rnacentral:rRNA from 1 species
UACGUAGGGAGCAAGCGUUGUCCGGGUUUACUGGGUGUAAAGGGUGCGUAGGCGGCUUUGCAAGUCAGAAGUGAAAUCCAUGGGCUUAACCCAUGAACUGCUUUUGAAACUGCAGAGCUUGAGUGGAGUAGAGGUAGGCGGAAUUCCCGGUGUAGCGGUGAAAUGCGUAGAGAUCGGGAGGAACACCAGUGGCGAAGGCGGCCUGCUGGGCUCUAACUGACGCUGAGGCACGAAAGCGUGGGUAGCAAACAGG